rnacentral:lncRNA from 1 species
UUGAUGAAUGAUCGAAAUAAAUUUAUGCAUAUGUUUAUCAUAAGUGAUGAAAAUGACCGAUGAAGAAUAAUAUGUUCUUUCAAGACAAUGACUAUUGUGGUUCUAAAAUAUCGAGAAAAAUAUUUAAGAUCUUAAAGAAAUUAUCAAACAUCUUAAUUACUUGUCAUCGUGUGAAAAACCUUCUUACCUGGUUAGAUAAACAUGUCCCAAUUUAACUCUUCAAUUUUUCAAUAGGUGUUCAUGACCUAUUAUGUUCACAAUCAACCAAAUGAUAUAUAUUUUAUUUUUAUUGUAUAAUAUAUAUUAUCUGAUCAAUCUAAUUUUAUGAUUAUUUUAUAUAUUUUGUCUGAUAAUCUCUAUAAAUAGACAUUGAUUGAAUUCAUAUUUGACGACAGUAUACUCUUAGUUGAACAAUGAUGAAAACACAUCAUUUUAUCUUGAUAUUUUUUUGAGUGCAGAAAUCAUUAUCUAUGUUGUUGGAAUUAAAUCAUCCAGAGAUGGAAAUCAAUUUGGUGCAGCAAAAGAAUCCAAAACAAAAAUUUGGAUAAAUGGUUGGGAAGACUGGGAAGUUGGGGAAGCGGAGGAGAUAAAGAAAGUGGAAAUGGAGCAUGAGAACAAGCAGAAGGUGAACACAAUGGAGGUGUAAGAGUAAAGGGAAGUGGAGAAGACAACUAAAGUGGAAGAGAAAAUGGAAGUGCGAAUGUAAAUGGAAGUGGAUUCAAUAGUGAAAAUUGAUUUACUUGGGGAUGCUGGGGAGGUUUCUUUUCCCACAAAAAUGGUACAUUAUGAAGUGUGUAUUUGAAACCGCUUUUCUUGAUCAAAUUUUUGCGAAAUGAUAAGUUUUAAUAUUGUUUGGAGCCGCUUUUCUUGAUCAAAUUUCCGUGGAACUAGGUGUUUUUUUACUGCAAAAAGUGAAGCUUCAAUAUGUAGUAUCUAUCGAAAUGAGCAUAUCCGCGGCGUAAAUUGUGAAGUCAUUGUCAAACCGAACAUAAACUCUUAGUCAUGUUUCAACAAAUACUGAGAGAACAUGGUUGAUUAUAAAUAACAAUAAUAUUGAGAGAAUGAUUUAUCCAACGAUAUUUUCAUUAAGUGUGGGUGUAAAAACAAAAAAUAAUUUACUACAUUGUAAAGUGUGAACUUAAAACUGCUUUACUUGAUCAAAUUUUUACGAAAUGAGAAGCUUUAAUACCCAGCUUCUACAGAAAGGAGAAAAUUCAAUGUGGAUAUAGUAAAAUGUCACCACUAAAUAAAUCAAAUGUAUGAUCUCACUCAUAUUUCGUUAAAUACUAAGAUAACAAAGUUGCUUGUAAUUAUAUUAAGUGUGGGUGUAAAAAAAUUACUCCAAUUUACAUUGUGUGUUUGGAGCUGUUUUUCUUGAAAACAAAAUCGCAAAAUCGUGCAUUCUUUCACCGCAAAAUGAGAAGCUUCAAUACCUAACUUUUACCCAAAUAAAAAAAUUUGCC